GAAUUCGCCCUUAGAGUUUGAUCCUGGCUCAGGACGAACGCUGGCGGCGUGCCUAACACAUGCAAGUCGAACGGAGAUAUCCGCUGAUGAAGUACUUCGGUAAUGAUUCUUGGAUAUCUUAGUGGCGGACGGGUGAGUAACGCGUGAGCAACCUGCCUUUCAGAGGGGGAUAACGUUUGGAAACGAACGCUAAUACCGCAUGAUAUUAUUGAGCUGCAUGGCUUGAUAAUCAAAGGAGCAAUCCGCUGAAAGAUGGGCUCGCGUCCGAUUAGGUAGUUGGCGGGGCAACGGCCCACCAAGCCGACGAUCGGUAGCCGGACUGAGAGGUUGAACGGCCACAUUGGGACUGAGACACGGCCCAGACUCCUACGGGAGGCAGCAGUGAGGGAUAUUGGUCAAUGGGGGAAACCCUGAACCAGCAACGCCGCGUGAGGGAAGACGGUUUUCGGAUUGUAAACCUCUGUCCUCUGUGAAGAUAAUGACGGUAGCAGAGGAGGAAGCUCCGGCUAACUACGUGCCAGCAGCCGCGGUAAUACGUAGGGAGCAAGCGUUGUCCGGAUUUACUGGGUGUAAAGGGUGCGUAGGCGGCUUUGCAAGUCAGAAGUGAAAUCCAUGGGCUUAACCCAUGAACUGCUUUUGAAACUGCAGAGCUUGAGUGGAGUAGAGGUAGGCGGAAUUCCCGGUGUAGCGGUGAAAUGCGUAGAGAUCGGGAGGAACACCAGUGGCGAAGGCGGCCUGCUGGGCUCUAACUGACGCUGAGGCACGAAAGCGUGGGUAGCAAACAGGAUUAGAUACCCUGGUAGUCCACGCUGUAAACGAUG
rnacentral:rRNA from 1 species